rnacentral:rRNA from 1 species
AGUGAACGCUGGCGGUAGGCCUAACACAUGCAAGUCGAACGGCAGCACAGUAAGAGCUUGCUCUUACGGGUGGCGAGUGGCGGACGGGUGAGGAAUACAUCGGAAUCUACUUUUUCGUGGGGGAUAACGUAGGGAAACUUACGCUAAUACCGCAUACGACCUACGGGUGAAAGCAGGGGACCUUCGGGCCUUGCGCGAUUGAAUGAGACGAUGUCGGAUUAGCUAGUUGGCGGGGUAAAGGCCCACCAAGGCGAAGAUCCGUAGCUGGUCUGAGAUGAUUAUCAGCCACACUGGAACUGAGACACGGUCCAGACUCCUACUGGAGGCAGCAGUGGGGAAUAUUGGAAAAUAGGCGCAAGCCUGAUCCAGCCAUACCGCGUGGGUGAAGAAGGCCUUCGGGUUGUAAAGCCCUUUUGUUGGGAAAGAAAUCCAGCCGGCUAUACCUGGUUGGGAUGACGGUACCCAAAGAAUAAGCACCGGCUAACUACGUGCCAGCAGCCGCAGUAACAC